AUAUUUAUUUAUUUUUUUUUGCACAUUCAGUUGCAUAUUACAUUUUAACUUUAAUUUUAACUUUAAUUUUAAUUUUAAUUUUAAUUUUAAUUUUUUUUUUUUUUUUAUAGUUAUACUUAGAAAACGAAGAAAUUUUAAAAGGAUCGUUGAUGAAAAAUAAAAAAAUAGAACAGUUAGAACAAAACGAAAAUUUUAAUCAUAACAUCUUUUGUGAUAUAUUAAACAACCUUACAGCUAGCUAUGAUAAUGCCGAUAUUAUAGAUAAAUCCUUUUGCGAAUGUAUAAAUUUUUUGUUAAACAUUUUAAAUAUUCAACAUCCGGACGUUCUUACAAGUUUAAAAGACGCAUACUCUAGAACAAAACAUAUAAAAAGACUUGACGUUUGUAACCAAAUUAUUAACAUUUUAACAUAAAACCGUUUUUUUGCUUUAACUAAGAAUUUUUUUUUUUUUUUACUUUAAUUUUAAAUACAAUAUGAGUAAAAAAAAAAGUAUUUUAUUUUAUACUUUUUGUCCUAUACAAUUUAUACACAUUUUUAUAAUAAAUAAUUUUUUUUUUCACCA
rnacentral:lncRNA from 1 species